CCGCUAGUUGUGGUAGCAGUGUUAAACUUUUGAUAUUUACAUUGAGUUAUUAUGCCAAUCACUUUGUCAAACGCAGUGACCACCAGUUUGACAAACACAUUGCAAUCAGUAGAAGGAGUAAUGUCUCCCGCCUUCUGCAUCAUCGUUCGGAUCUGUGGCUGCCAGAGCUCGGUUUCGGACUGUUGGACAGCGUCCAACCCGAAAUCCACUCAGCGUGUCCUCCACCGUUCAUCGCCAAUUCUCCAUCUCCUCUUUGCCCCUGCUCCGGCUGACCUGCCAUGGAUUUGGGAAGCAAGAUCUCUUUGAUUCAACUCCAGGAGCCGAGCACCUCUGGGUUCCACAGUGGCAGGGAGCGGACAGAGCAUCUAUCAUCCCCGGGGGAAUGGUGGUGAUGGUGGGGGGUGCGAGCCCCACGCUUUGCUCUGCAGCAGAGCGCUCGUUCCUCUGGGUUGGAAGGACGCCAGUCGACUGGGGAUCAAACCUUGGCCCUCGGCCCGGCAGCAGGCUUCCACGGCUCCCUCCCUUCACUACCAAAUCUGGGCCACUUCCAUGUGGGCCAGCAGCAGGCAGCUUUUUUUUUUUGCUAGUAUCUAAUCUGUUGUUUGUUCUUGCGAGUGUGCUGUCGAUGAGCAGAGAAGGAUGUUGGGGAGGAAACAGGGGAGAAACAUGCCGCUAUCAGAGAUACCAGCAGAGCCUCUGUGGCCUCAAGGUGAUGUUUGCCAAUCAGAUUUCUGGGGAUUGAAUCAGUAGGAUACGACAUACAGGCCACCAAGCACACUGGGGGGGGGGGCAUGUUUUACAGUUCUGUCAGGCCAUGAUUCCAAAAAUAAUUUUAACAUGGUUUUCAUAGCCAGUCAGGGUUCUCUAUAAAACCAACCAAACAGGUUAGACAUGUGCAGUAACUUUCUCUGUCUUCCCUCUGCAAACAAGCUGAGAGAGAGCAGAUUGUGGGGUGAGUUUUAGUACGUUCUAUUUCUUUGCAAAACAAAAUAUGGCAGACAAGUACAAGAAGACCUCCUCAAUAUAUAAGCCAAGUCAAAGGAGGUAAUAGAGGUAAGGCUGAGUUCAUAAUCAUAACAGACUCAAUAUUUCAUCACUUCGCAGAUACAUUUCUGCCUCGCUCGGCCAGUUUUGCUGACUGGAAAUUCAAACAUUACUACUUUCAGGGGUUUCAGGGUAACAUUCAGAAGCAAGAUUUUUUUUGUCAAAAUACUGCUGGCCUCUUGGGGCCUGUGAUGCCUUACCUCUGUGUUUUUACAUUUUAUAACCUGCCUAGAUUCAGAAACACUAGAAUAAAACGUAUUAGCAAAUAAAUAAUGCAGCAUAAAAAG